rnacentral:piRNA from 1 species
UGCUUCUGACUUUUAUUUUCA